GGAUGCGAUCAUACCAGCACUAAAGCACCGGAUCCCAUCAGAACUCCGUAGUUAAGCGUGCUUGGGCGAGCGUAGUACUAGGAUGGGUGACCUCCUGGGAAGUCCUCGUGUUGCAUUCC
rnacentral:rRNA from 2 species